rnacentral:lncRNA from 1 species
CUGAUUUUAGCAGUGAAUACCCACAGCUCAGCCCCGCAGGCUGCGUUUGGGUUCUGCACGGUGCAUCAUUGGCCAAAAGGGGAACUUUGGGAAAAUCUGAAUAUCUGACACUGGAAAUGAGGGUCAGACCCUCCUGUGCUGGAAUUUACAGGGAGGGAUUGUCCCAAGGAUGGAAAGCCAGCAUGGACCCAAGGUGUGGGAAUGCUGUCCUCUCCUACUGAUACACAGCAAAGGACAAAGAAGGCAAAAGCAGAGAAGCAGAGAGGGAGCCAGAAAGCACAGCCAGCUCCCCGAGCCCCAUUCCAUCCCUCCCACUGCUCCCCUCUCAAAUAUUUGGCGUUCCCCACUGCUGCCAUGGCGCUGAGAGCGGAAUGUUUGUGCAGCAACACGAGGGCUGUGGGCUCUGCUGGGGGCUGUGCAGAGGAACCCGUGGCCCAAAGGGAUCCAGGAGGGAAGUGCUUGGGGGAUCGGUGUCACUGCCUCCAACCCAUAUGGGCUGGAAGAGUAGCACUGGGCUGAGGUGGAGCAGAGCCAACCCUACUGCUGCAGGGAAGGUUCUUUGUGAGCUCCAGAAAGGAAAAAAGGAGGGUGAAUGAGCUCUGAGGGUGGGGAUAGGGCCCAGGGCCUGAAGAUUCCCAAGCAAUAAUGUCUCAGACAGAGGGAUGACCUGCGGUUGCAGUGUUGGCGUGGAUCUCAGAAAACCUGCUCUCCUCUCAGCUGCAGCCUUCAGUGGAUGCCCGAGGUCCAUCUCUUCACCCACAAACCUUCCCAGCAGUGACAUGCUCUGCCUCUCAAUGCUUUUCAGCACCUUUUCCAUCACUUUUUCACCCAUGGCAGAGCCAGGACCUCAGGUUCACCCCUUUGCACGCCGCACCACAGUGACCUUCCUUUCCUUGGCCACCCCCUCGUUGGCUUUGCACGGCUGCAGGAUCUCAGAGCUGAGCACAAAGCCCACCAGUGCAGCUCUCCAUGAGCCCACGUGGCUACCGCACAGGGACAGCGCCGCGUCCUGUCAUCCUGGCUCAUAUUCAAACCAGGGAAGUGGAGAAACAUCUCCAGGCUCAUUCCCAUUCCCUUCAGCCAUCUGGUCCUCCGCUCUUGGAGCCUUCCUGGCCUCAGGAGGAGCCCAGCGUGGCUCUUUGUGGGAUCUUCCCUCUGCCAGCCCGUCUCCGCUUUCAUCCCCGGUGCCAUGCCCGCCUCCUCAUCCCCUUUGAUUCCAGGACCUGAGGAGCAGACCGGCUCGGGGAAUGUCUUGUCAAGUCCACCUCCCCCUCCUCCUCCUCCCCAGAGGCCUUCUGCAUUGUCUCCCUGUGGUGCAGACGGAGCCCGAGAGAUCAAAGCCCCAACCGUCUUUUUUUAGCUCCGGGUGGAAUGCGCGGUGCCUCCUGCUGCUGCUGCUGUCCCGGCUGAGCGGUGCUCCCCGUAACUCGAGCCUCCCAUCCCUGGGGGUGAGGGGCUGACAGGUGACACGGAGCCGCUGCAGCGGGCAGAGCCUCGGCAACAAGUCUGACUUUGCACCGAGAAGCUCUCCGGCAACAGUUGGGAGAUGUCUGCGGUUAGCAUGGGAUGUGCCUCGUAACAAAGAACCUACCUGGAUGGAAUUAACCCUUGCAACCUUUUUUUUUUUUUUUUUUUUUCCCUUCUUUCCUUUCUCCUGGUUGGAGAGGUGUAGAACCUCUUGUUGGGGUUGCAAAGAGUUUUUUCUUCCUUUCAUCUUUCCUUGUGCCCAUCUCACAGCUCCGUCCUCCUGCCCAGAUUUAGGGGAGGUUUUCCCCAUCCCUGGAGAUGUUCCAGAGCCAUUUAGAUGGGACACGGUUUGUGGGCAUGGUGGGAUGGGUUGGGGUUGGACCUGAGGUCUUUUCCAACCUUAAGGAUUCUGUGAUUCCAUGAGUGGACACCCUGGUGAUGGGCUCUGAGCCUUGAGCUCUCAGCCUUGAGGUCUUUUCCACCUGCUCUCAGGUGGGUGGGUGGUGGGCAGCUUUGCUGGGGUGCAGCAACACCUCCAUACGACCUGCACUGGUGGGCAACUGCAGCUGGGACCUCAGAGCACCUGCUGCUGUCAUUUGGGUUGUUCCCAUGUUUCUCACUGCCUUCUGCUGGGAAUCACCUUUUGGAAAAGUUCAUGGCCCGUUUUGACCUCGAGGGUCGCAGCAAACCAAUAGUCCUGCCACGAAGGGCACAGCCUGGGAGGGAGAUGUGUUUGGUUUGUGGUUGAUAGCUUCUUUCAGGCACACUGAAGCUCAGUUUCCACACAUGCUCCAUGCAAUUUUUUCCCAGCCCCAGCACCGUUCUGGGCAGGGAUUGCUGGCAUCUGUGCACUAGCAGAGAUGGGAUUCCUAAAACCCCAAAGCCUGGGGCAGAUUUCCUGUGCCUCCGUUCCUGGCAGGGAAUGCAGCGAGCUGCCAGCAAAACUCAGAUAAAGACUUUGCUCAAAGGGGUUGUUCAAUGAAUAAAUGAAAAGGAAACAGCA